UGAUGUCAGAGUUGGAGGCAUGUUUGGGACCACCCACUCAACUGUCUUUGUCACUCACUCGACUGUCCUUAUAACCCAGAGAGGUGCCGGAUACUUACUACCCAAGCUGCUGAGUUGGGGGCAGAGUCGGUGCGAAGUCCCAGCUUCCUAAAUCCUCAGCCCUCCAGGGCUAUCUCAUUGACCGUGGCUGCCCUCCUCUUCCCUUCGCUCUGCCCUGCACCCCACCUCUGCUGACUGAGCCCCGCUCUGGACAGAGGAGGCCUGAGUUCCUGCCCUCACACCGUCCUCAACACAGAGUGACCACCAGGGACACCUGCCCUUCGCUGAGUCUUUGUCUUCUCAUUGCCAAGUGGAAGGCCUGCAGGUUAUCGCAUCUCCUGUGUCGUAUCGUUGCCACGUCCUUAAGAUAGGGGCCUCCAAAAGGCAGAGAUCCCGGAUAUGGGCGAACUAGCCUGUGUAACCAACCAACAAAGCAGGAACGCCAGUGGCCCAACACAAAGGAGGCUUCUUUCUCCCUUACGUAA